CUUUUUUCCUUGCAUUAUUCUCAAUUUAACCAUCCAAACGAAUAUUUUAUUAUUUAACUCACUGAACGAUCGAUGACUAUAUGCAUGAAUCAAUUAUAAUCUUACACUUAUAUCAUAUUUGUAGUACUUUAAUUUCAACCAUCCAAAAUUUAAAUAAAUAAGAAAAGUCUAUAGGUUGUAGUGCGACACACAACGAAAUUAUCUGCAAUUCUAUUCAUAUCGUAUUUUCAAAUAAUUUAUAGUGAACAAAAAGUUAUGAGUCUGAAUCACAUCAAAAUAACAAAAUUGAAAUACGUACAAAAUGAGAAUGAAGAGCAGAUUACUGGACGGUGCAGC
rnacentral:lncRNA from 1 species